CGAAAACUGUUCACGAAGGCACAAAACGGUGAACAACUUUUGCUGCGACAGAAGAUAUGGAGAUUACUAGGCCGGUACUAAAAGAGCUCCCGGUGGCUCUUACUCCCUCAGUGCUGUCGUUUUGAAGACAGGCAAGAGUGACAUCUCCAACCCCCCACCCAAACACAACAAUGGGGUGGUGUUGUGUUUGGUGGAGGGAAGAACAAUAUGAUUGCAGAUAAACAAACAAGCAAAAAUGACACACAAGCAAAACCAACAUUCCUCAUCUACCGAGAAGGAAAAAAGCAACCUCGGAAACUCUAACCUGUGAAUAUGCGGCCAACUUCCCGCUCCUUCAGUUCUCUCCAGUGCUGGAAAGCUGAUCCUAUAUUAACACGGGUCCUACUUCUUGCCUCAUCUUUUUCUUCCCAAGAUUCAAAAAAAGCCUUGAGCACCUGUGGGAAGCCCGGAACAACCAUGCUUUGCGUACAGAAAACAAUCGAACACCUACUCAAAUCCUGAGGAUUCCUCUGGACACUGUACAGGAGGUGGGAGAAAGGAGGAUGGUAGCAAAACUAUCAUCAUUGCUAGGGAACAACUCUCACCCCCCUUAUGAAAUGGUUUCCUCUCUCAGCAGCUCCUUCAGUGACAGACUGUUACAUCCUAAGGGUCUGAAGAAGUGAUACAGAUGGUCCUUUCUCCCUGCUGCUAUUGGACUUUACAAUCAAAGCUGCUCCCAGUGAACCAGUCACCAUAAUACACACUGUUAUUACUGUGUCACUGCAAUAAUAAACAAUAACAAAGUAUUCAAAACGUGCAAUAACAGAAAUUUUUAAAAAUGUGCAAUAUUGACUAUGUGCCGUAUGUCUUCCGUGUAACCACUUUUUUAUUCAUUUUUGUUUUUUAAUAUACUGUAUAUUAUGUCUUUAUACUUUAUUCAUUUUAUAUAUUUUUGUUGCUGUAAAAGAGAAAUUUCCCCAUUGUGGGACAAAUAAAGGUAUAUCUUAUCUUAUCUUAUCUUAUCUUGGAAGGAAGGCAUUCUCUUAAAUAUGGACAAUGCACGGUGCUGCACUCAACAAUGUGUUUGGGGAAAAUCCCUACAGACCACAAAAUUUGGAGGCAGUUCUGACGCCACUUGGAAUUGACUCUUUACCCACUACUGAUGAUGAUCUAACUGCUUUAAUUGAAAGGCAAUCUCAAAUCAAUCUCAGUCAACAGCAACAGGAGCCAAUCUCUAUUAAUCACAUUUCAGAUUUAAAGAUAAAGUAUCUGACAUGCUGUAAAGAAAUUUCAAAUGCUAUCGAAACCUAAAACAUAAAAUCACAACUGAAUGCAUCCACUGUUGUCAGAGCACAAGAGAUAUUUUUCCUCUUACUGUAUUAUAAGGUUUAUACAUUUGUUUAUAUUGCAAUUAAUUAAUGUAAUGUUCACUUGACAUACAGUCUAAAUGAGGUCUAAAACAAACCAUGCUUUUACUCUAAAACCUUCUGACCCCUUUAGGUGUAUUGUUAUCUGCAUACAUCUGUCAACACAGCAAGUUCUUUACCAGUGUGAAAGUAUGUGUGCAUACAUUCAGUUUGCAUUUUGUUAGACUCUACAGUUCUCAGUGAAAUUUGCUGCCUUCCUUUGUUUAACACAACAUCGUUGAAAAUUGCAGAUGACCUUGCUUGUACUUUAUAUAUUUUGGAACAUUACAUGCGUAUAAUUUUCAGUUCUUGGAGAAUGUGUAGAUGUUGUUAUUCUUACUUUGCUUGUGUGUUUACUCCUGGCAAAAUGUAAGCAAAACAAAUGUGUUCAGGAAUCAUUAUUUGUUGAAUAUGAUAAAAAAGAGAAAUAAGAAUUGAUGAUUGAAGAUUUCACAAUAAAUGGUCUGGUCCAUUGGCCCUUCGAUGUGGAAAAUUCAACCUGUACCUUUAUCAGAGAAACAGCCCCAAUGCAUGAUGUUUCAUGUCCAAUGGUUUGGUGAUGGUGGUCUCAACUGCCUUGAGAUCAUUCACAAGCUCCUUCUGUGUAGUUCUGGGCUGAUCCCUCACUUUUCCCAUGAUUAUCCUUACCAUCAUGAGGUGAAAUCUUUAGAUUAGUUAAGAUUAGAUUAUGUUUAUUAUCUCUGCACAUAUGGUACAAGCCAUCGACCUACAGUAGGUACCUAACCAGAAGUGCAUUUGUUGCAGUGCAAAAUAAUUUCCAUAUGUAAACAGCACACAGAGAAGGAGUUAUAUACAAUGCAAUAAAGGAAGAUCUUGUAUACUAAGGUAAUGAUAUUGUAUCUUAAGGAGGUUAUAUACAUGCAAUACAUGUUAUGGAGAGUGGAGUGGGGGAGAUUAUUAUGUACAAUAUGUUCAGAAGUUAUAAAUAGUGCAAUCCUCGAGUGUUUAAAUUUAUGUACAGUGGUGAGUUAUGAGCAGCAAUUAGCUUCUUGCUGAUAGCCUUGUAGCCCACUCUAGCCAUUGUGCAGGUUUACAAUCAUCUCCCUUAUGUCCUUUGACAACUAUUUGGUCUUGCCCAUGGUGCUGAUGUUUGAAUGGAAUAUAGAGAUUCUGUGAACUUUUUAUACAUAAGGUGUCUUUUAUAUACAUAAAGAGUUGUUGUUAGGAGCACUUCUUAAAUUAAUCCAUGUACCACAUGAGCACAUAACCAGUCUGUAGGAGGUAGAAUUAUUGUUGGUGGUUAGGGGAUAUAAUACUUAUGUUGCUUUUUUCUUUGGAUUGAUAUUCUAUCUCUAUCCUACAUUCUGUCUUUAUUAAAUAAACCAGUGAUAAAAAUAAUAGACC